rnacentral:rRNA from 1 species
ACGGGGAUUACACGGAGAUGCGAUUUCGGUCAAAUCAAGUGCAAUCUUAGUGGCGGACGGGUGAGUAACGCGUGGGUAACCUGCCUUGCACUGGGGGAUAACACUUAGAAAUAGGUGCUAAUACCGCAUAAGCGCACGGUCCUGCAUGGGACAGUGUGAAAAACUCCGGUGGUGCAAGAUGGACCCGCGUCUGAUUAGCUGGUUGGCGGGGUAAAGGCCCACCAAGGCGACGAUCAGUAGCCGGCCUGAGAGGGUGGACGGCCACAUUGGGACUGAGACACGGCCCAAACUCCUACGGGAGGCAGCAGUGGGGGAUAUUGGACAAUGGGGGGAACCCUGAUCCAGCGACGCCGCGUGAGUGAAGAAGUAUUUCGGUAUGUAAAGCUCUGUCAGCAGGGAAGAAAGCAAUGACGGUACCUGACCAAGAAGCCCCGGCUAACUACGUGCCAGCAGCCGCGGUAAUACGUAGGGGGCAAGCGUUAUCCGGAAUUACUGGGUGUAAAGGGAGCGUAGACGGCUGUGCAAGUCUGGAGUGAAAAGGCGGGGGCCCAACCCCCCGGACUGCCUCUGGAAACUGUAUGGGCUGGAGUGCAGGAGAGGCACCCCCAACUCCAAGNGNAGCGGAGAAAAGAGGAGCCUCUCUAAAAACACCAGUGGCGAAGGCGGCUUUACUGGACUGUAACUGACGUUGAGGCUCGAAAGCGUGGGGAGCAAACAGGAUUAGAUACCCUGGUAGUCCACGCCGUAAACGAUGAUUACUAGGUGUCGGUGGGUAUGGACCCACCGGUGCCGCAGCAAACGCAGUAAGUAAUCCACCUGGGGAGUACGUUCGCAAGAAUGAAACUCAAAGGAAUUGACGGGGACCCGCACAAGCGGUGGAGCAUGUGGUUUAAUCCGAAGCAACGCGAAGAACCUUACCAAGUCUUGACAUCUGGAUGACAGGGACGUAACGGUCCCCUUACUUCGGUACAUCCAAGACAGGUGGUGCAUGGUUGUCGUCAGCUCGUGUCGUGAGAUGUUGGGUUAAGUCCCGCAACGAGCGCAACCCUUAUCCUUAGUAGCCAGCGGGCAGGGCCGGGCACUCUAGGGAGACUGCCGGGGAUAACCCGGAGGAAGGUGGGGAUGACGUCAAAUCAUCAUGCCCCUUAUGAUUUGGGCUACACACGUGCUACAAUGGCGUAAACAGAGGGAAGCGAACCCGCGAGGGGGAGCAAAUCCCAAAAAUAGCGUCCCAGUUCGGAUUGUAGCCUGCAACCCGGCUACAUGAAGCUGGAAUCGCUAGUAAUCGC